UGGGAGAGACCUCGUGUUAUACAUGCUCAGGCAUGCAACAUGAGGCGCCGAAGGCGCAACCCGCCCGGAAACGCUCAGGCAAAAGGACUAUGGGG
rnacentral:ncRNA from 1 species